GGGGAUAUGGCGGAACUGGCAGACGCGCUGGAUUUAGGUUCCAGUGGAGAAAUCCUUCAGAGUUCGACUCUCUGUAUCCCCACCA
rnacentral:tRNA from 1 species